AUACUUACCUGGCAGGGGCGAUACCAUGAUCAUGAAAGUGGUUUUCCCAGGGUGAGGCUCACCCAUUGCACUUCAUGACAUAGGGAUUUUUACAGAGGGUAGAAAGGAUGAGAAAACACUUCACUGUUUCUUCUUAUGACUCCAGGUACCAUGAGAAACUCAAGUCCCUA
rnacentral:snRNA from 1 species